CCUACGGGCGGCACCAGUGGGGAAUAUUGCACAAUGGGCGCAAGCCUGAUGCAGCCAUGCCGCGUGUAUGAAGAAGGCCUUAGGGUUGUAAAGUACUUUCAGUUGGGAGGAAGGCGUUGAUGCUAAUAUCAUCAACGAUUGACGUUACCAACAGAAGAAGCACCGGCUAACUCCGUGCCAGCAGCCGCGGUAAUACGGAGGGUGCAAGCGUCAAUCGGAAUUACUGGGCGUAAGGCGCAUGCAGGCGGUUGAUUAAGUUAGAUGUGAAAUCCCCGGGCUUAACCUGGGAAUGGCAUCUAAGACGGGUCAGCUAGAGUCUUGUAGAGGGGGGUAGAAUUCCAUGUGUAGCGGUGAAAUGCGUAGAGAUGUGGAGGAAUACCGGUGGCGAAGGCGGCCCCCUGGACAAAGACUGACGCUCAGGUGCGAAAGCGUGGGGAGCAAACAGGAUUAGAUACCCUGGUAGUC
rnacentral:rRNA from 1 species